CGUGUGACGCGCCUGAACUCAGGGGUCGCGCGGGCCUUUCGCCAUUACCUCAGACCUAAGGAACCAGAAACUUCGCCAGGUCGCUAUAACAAAUCCUCCAGGAAAAAGGUGGACAUGAAGAACAGAAACAAUUACUGAUUCCCACCGCUUCAUCAAAUGUGUCUGGACUAAGAACAUUAUUCGUAGUGGUUACCUGCAUCACUAAAGCUAAGAAGCCCUUUACUAAGAGUCCCUGUGGACACCUCACAGAGAAAGAGAGAGUUGCUUGAAACACAUCUCCUCUCUGAAACGUUUUCCCUGUGCUGACCCUGUGGUUACAGCUGGAUUGGUAGAGUACCACCACCCCUUCCCACUAUAUCUUGAAAGUACCCCAUAUACUGGCACAGUCUCCAAGAGCGGAAGGCAUGCCUCAAAGUCACAGAUUUUGGACUGUUACCAGCUCUGCUACUUCCGUCACACAUACAGUCUUGGGAAGAGAAUGUUGUGCCACCCUCACCACCACCCCCAUCCACCUACCACACCCUUUUCUCCUUAUGAAACCUCAAAGAGCUCCAAGGAGGGAACCAGUUGCCACCUGCUGUGUUGCCCUCCACUAGUGUGACUGGUUUUUCCUGCUGCAGCAGCCCUGAUGACCC